rnacentral:lncRNA from 1 species
AGGAAACUGAUCGUAUGGAUGUGGUAGAAGAUGGAAUUGGAAAUAGUAGGAAGAAGGGGAAGAAGAAAGAGAUGGAUGGGGUGGGAGAGGUAAUGGAUUGUCUGGAUAUGGAAGAAGAUGGAAUUGGAAAGAGUAGGAAGAAGGGGGAGAAAAGUAAAGAGAAGGAUGGGGCGGAAGAGAUGAAUGAUCAGACUAAUGUGGAAAACGAUCGAAACUUGGAAUCUACAGUAGAAAAUAAGAAAAAGAAGAAUAAGGGAAAUGACAUGGUUGCUGGCGGGGAAUCAAUGACUGAUCCUCAAGAUAAAGAAUAUAAAGUUGAAAAACGGAAGAAGAAGAAGAAAACAAAAACCUUUGAGAAUCAAGAUGCAUUAAAUAAGAAGACUGAAACUGAAGCUAAAGAGAGGAACAACAUUGCAGGGAAUGUGGAGAAGAAGAAAAAGAAGAGGAAAAGGACGGUGGAAGAAGAAGAUGAUAAUGACAAAGGACAGACGAAUGGUUGCUAUGGAGAAGAUCAUGUAAAUUCUUUACCUGAUGACAAUGGUAUGGUUACUAUAGGGAAGGUUAAGAUGAUGGAGAAGAAGAAGAAGCGGCAGAGGAAGAAUGAGGAAAUAACGGGAAAGGACGGGCUUUUAAGUAAGGCAAAAGAUAAUGAAACCACGAAUGUUUCAGGAAAGGAUAAGACCAAGUCAGUAAAUAAGGAUCCUGAAAAUCCUAAAUCAAAAGUAAAGAAGAAAGUUAGGUUUUCUAAUGAUUUAGAGGUUUUUCCAUCUAAUAGCCUAGUUCAAGGUAAGAGAUUCACUCCGGAAGAAGAUGAGAAGUUGAGAGCAGCUGUUAAAGAGUAUAUACAGUCACAUUGCUUAGGUGAAAAAGGUGUGGAAAUGGUCAUGAAUUGUAUUUCUCACCGACAAGUAAGGAACUGUUGGAAUGAAAUAAAUAAAGCGUUACCAUAUAGGCCUAAAUCAGCGAUAUAUUGCCGUGCUCAUACAUUGUUUGAGAGAGGUGAGACACAUGAAUGGACUGAAGAAGAAAAAGAAAUGCUUCUGGAACAGUAUAAAAAGCAUGGUAACAAUUGGAAGCUGAUGGCUAAAGAAUUUAAGAGACAUAGACUUCAGGUGAAGGAUACAUAUCGUAGAAUAAAAAGGGAACGAAAUAGAGGACAUUGGUCCCAAGAAGAAUACCAAACCUUGUUUGACAACGUGAAUAUUGAUUUGCGAGCUAAGCUUGAUGAAGAGAAGAAAUCGAAGCAUGGAAUGUUACGAGAUAAUAUAUGUUGGACUGCAAUCAGUGACAAAUUGUCAACUAGAGCCGACUCACUUUGCUGUAUGAAAUGGUACAAUCAGUUAACAUCUCCUAUGGUUGCUCAGGGUAUAUGGGCUGAUUCUGAUGAUUACCGUCUGCUUGAUGCACUUUUUAACUUAGAUGCAUGCUGCAUAGAGGAUGUAGAUUGGGAUGACCUGAUGGAUCAUAGGUCUGGUGAUGUAUGUAGGAAGCGUUGGGACCAAAUGGUGCUUCACAUAGGCUUACAUGGGGUCAAGUCUUUUUCUGAGCAAGUUGAAGUUCUGGCAAAGCGAUACCGUCCAGAACUAACUGAAGCACGGGAGGCUUGGGACAGCAAACCUUUGGUCCCAUGACAUAGCAGACAGUUAUAUACUGCACAAAUUACUUCUCUGGAUAUGACAAAGCCUGGUCAGUCUUAUGUUCUAUCUAUUCUUUAUAUGUCAAUCUUAUUUUCUUUCUAUUAUUUAUAUGUCAAUCAGUAUCUUUUUUUAUAGUUGAUAAAGUAUAUCCUAUAUGGGAAGGUGGAGGUCAGAACUAGACGUAUACACUUGGUUAAUUGUUGCAAAAUUAACUGUUUUGGCCCUCCAAAUGCUUACAACAUGUUCUUAUGAAACAUGAAACGAAACAAUGAAAGCUAGUUUCUGGUAGCUAUUUCUACUUCAGGAUAGAGGAAAAACCAACUAUGUACAGAAAACUGAAAAUUCAAUUGUUGAUUUCAUUUAUAUAAGGAACACCUAGAAUCACAAAUAUCUCGAGGUCAUGCCUAUGGUCUAACCUUAUUUCUGUUUUUACUACGUAAUUAUAUAGUGCUCAUGGUGAUUUUGUAAUAACAACACCGUAUUAUAUUGUCUCUGAUCUCUGAUGACUCAGUUAUACUGUUAUUCUUCUCAUAAAUAGAGAUGGAGCUAGUAGAGCAAGGUCCAGAUUUCAUAGCACUGUUCCUCCAGUUCAAAGCUUCUGCGAUGGACCUUAUCUCUGUUCUUGAGCAGGUAAUAUUGGAACUUUUUUUGUUGGAUUUAAAAAGAGAUAUUAUUAAUCACAGGCCAUGUAGUUACUUAUUACUGUUAAAUGAGUAGCAUGUUCCUAGGUUCUGUAUUAAAGCAAACAUAACUGCACAGUUACUUGCCACCUUUCACCUUUCCAUCUAACUUCCCCUAUAUUCUGUUCUGAAAUGUGUCAUAUGUUGUUUAAUUAGAGUUCUGCAAAAGAUUACCAAUUGUUCCAGGCUUAUAAACUCCUUUAUAAUUAAUAUUAUUUGCCUUGAAUCUCUGUUUGUGAUAUGCUUCUACUUCUGGGUCUCAUUUUCUGAUUACAAUAUCUAAAGACGUCUGAUUGUACGAUAUUCUCUUCUUUUUUUGUCAAAUUAAGUGUUGUGUCAACUAAUCAUAGCUCCUUUAGCAGCAAAUCUGAUAUACAGUAAAGCAGCUACUGUUAUGCUGAAGCAUGAUACUUUGGAGUUUAGAAUUGAAUUAGAAAGCUAUAUGUUAAAACUCGUGUUCAAUUUAUAUGCAAAUAUAAAUGACUUUUAAUAAAAAGCUUUUAUAAUUUUAUCCUUGUCUAAUCCUGUGUUACUUGGACUCUCCUGUUUCGCAGCUCCGAAGUUGUGGUUAGUAAUCUAUAAAUAAUCAACUUUAACAUAAUGUUUUGGAGGCAUAACAGAUCUAUAUAGUUGUAACAUUUAAGAGUGUCCUGUCACUGUUCUAGGUUUUCUGUCCACUUGUAGAUUAAUAUUUCUGUUAAGUUAUGCUUUGCUUGUUACAUGAGAUCAAAUGAAAUAUAGUUUACCAGUAUACAUUAUGAUUAUUGUCCACAAAUGUUUGGCCAUUAAACAGUAUACUGUCAUAGAUGUUACGGUGCCCAGUAUUUUACAAUUGUCACUAAUCGCUUGAAUGCCUUGGAGAUGAGGUGCCCUGAUUUUUUGUGUCUACACUCUUACUACUGCUUUCAUAAGGAGCAAUUCAAUUAUUUCCUUUACUUACUACUGAUAAAUAUUAAUAAAAAACACUUUAUAUAAAUAACCUAAGACUGUGUUUGGGAAUAUAGAAUUUUUUUGAGUGACAUGAAUUGAUUUGUCAUUUUAAAUUCUCAAAUUUAUGCUUGAAUUUAAAAGAAUGAAUGUAAAAUUUGAUCAAAUCAAAAUCCAAAGUUCUCUUGAUUAUCCAAUCAUGUCAUUUGUCCAAAUUCAGGAUUCAAAAUGAAAUCCAAGUUCCCAAACAAAUCAUAUGUUACAAAAAUGUAUAAUUAGUUCUAAAUUACAAAGUAGCACAUAAUUUGCAUGAUAUCUUAAAGAACAUGAGGUAGGUGAUCAAGAUUUCCUAACAAAACAUAAAACUACGUCCUGGAAACUACCCUUGCAUCGUAGCCAACAGCUAUAGAUACCACUGGACAUUGGCUUUUCAAAGAUUCUCUACACAUAGGACUGUCAUUCAGACUACGCGAUGAAUACAGAUAAGAUAAGUUACAUAAAAGAUGUGUCAUUACUUCUAAUUCACAAAGUAACACAUAAUCUGCGUGGUACCUGAAAUAACAUGAAAGUGUGAUCAAGAUUUUAAAACAAAAACAAAAAACGUCCUGGAAUCUACAGUUCCAUCAUAAUAGCAGCUAUAGAUACCACUGGAAGUUGGCAUUUUAAAGAUGCUCUACAUGUAGGACUGUCAUUCAGCCUAAGCCACUAAAUGAGGCACCAAAACAAGCAUAACCCAUAGUUUUGCAUCAUAUAUGUUCGUGAUUUCUAGGUGGCAGAGAUUUACCAUGGGUUUAUUUUCUCUUGGGCAGGAGCAUCCCCACCCCAAAAAAAAAAAAUCAAAAAAAAAUCAAGGGCCUCUAAUCUUAAUAUUAAGAAUUUUCUUGUUUAUAGUUAUACAUAAUAAUGUUGAUGAUUAACAAAAAAAUUCGAUUCUUAUCAAUCCUUAACUUCUACAAACUUUAACUGUAAUUUUCUCUCUUCUUUCUUUUUCUAAUUCAUUCUUAUUGAUUCUCCCACAACUUGAUUGCAACUACAAUUUUUGCGUAGGUAUUACAAAUUUCUCAACAUUUUAUAUCUGGUACUACAUUUAUCUUAAAGUAAUGCUCAAAAUUUAUGGAAUAUUCUGGGCUUAUAAGUUAUAAGCACUUAUUUGUACCGUUUGUGUAAAAAGUUAAGAAGCACUUAAAAGAAGUUAGGAUUGCUAGCUUUUGUUUCAGGACUUCUGCUUAUUUCCCAAACAGUUUAAUCACUUAUAAGUCUUACCUUGCUUCUGACUUCUACUUCAUUUUUUUAUUGUAAGCAAAAAGCAUUUAUUUUAAGCUCAGUCAAACGGCCACUAUAUCGAAAGAUCAAGAUAGAGAUUUUAUGGGAAAUUUAUUUGUAAAGACUCUAAUAUAGUUAUAUGCAGUAUAUGAUUAUUAGAGCUCGAGUUUUUCAUAGAACAAGUUUUCAAAAUUAAUUUCCUCAACAAUACGAGUUGGAUUUUCAAACGAUUUUAUCUUUUUUCAAGUCUCCCACUUUUGUUAAAAGUGUUUUACGUUUUUACUGAGUUUAUAUCUCAAGGUUUAGAUUAUUUUACUCAAAAUAUAACAUUCAAUAAGAUCAGUUUUCCCAAAUUUGAGUGACAAUACGAUCAGUUUUCCCAAAUUUGAAGUUAUUUGUGUGAAUGGUAGUAUUAAACAUGGUCAUGACUUCUAUUACGUCAUUUCAAUGACCAUUUCUUCCACAGCGGAUCAAGUUGAAAGCAUGGAAAUCAUCAGUUUCAAUGUCGUUUAACAUGUUGGUUUAUAUUUUUUUUUAAUUAGCAUUUAAAACAACUAAUUUAAUUUAAAAGUUAACUUUUAAUUGAUUUAGAUAAAUAUAGCAGUAAUUUCAAUUUUAUUAUAUAUAUAUAUAUAUAUCACUAAUAAUAAUAGAAUAAUAAAUUGUUUUGUAUUAUUUUUUUAUAGAUAAACUCGAUCAAACACAUGCCAAAUCUUCGAUUUUAUCGGAUUAAACAUUAAUCUUAUCAUCAAACGAAAAACGUAAGAAACUCUACGUAAGAGAAGUUUAAAAAUCUUAAUCGAAAAUUUGACAUUGAAUUUUACUAAAAUUUGGUGCAACUUAAGCCAGAAACGAAUCAAAAAUAAUAACUUUGAAACGAAUCAUUUAAUUAUGAUUUUUUCUUCUCUCUAACUAAGCUUUUUAGGUUUAUUUCUUAAUUUUAAAUGCCGCUGCUUAUAUAUAAGCGCUAGUUCUUCCCCCAAACAAAACCCUAAUUUAAAACCCUCACAUUGCGUUUCAAUCUGAUUUGAUUCUCAUCAAGGUACUAACUUUUUAUGUUUUGUGCGUUCUUUAUGCUCUUGUUUAUGUUUCUGUGCAAUCAAUUUCAUAUUUAUGUUGUAAUUACUUGAAUCUUGAGCAUUUUCAUAAUAUGCGUUCUAGCUUAAUUAAUCUUGCACAUUUGUGUUUUAUUUAAGGGUAUUAGAGUAUUAACAUGUAAUUAGUUAGUUGUAUGUAAGUAGGAUAUGAAAUUUUAUGUGGGUGUGUUGGUGGGUGAAUUAGUACUUUUUUGGGUUCGAAUUUUUCGAUGUGGUUUAAGUUAGGAUAGAAUGGGAGUUAAUGUAAAGGGGCUAUGUGUUGUUUUUGAGUUAGUGUGGUGUGAAAUGUUUGUUAGAGGUUGAUGUUUGGGAUUUAGUUUUUCGGGGAGAAUGUUGGUGUUGAAUUUUUGUCGGUGCUGGUGAAUUUGUUUGUUGCUACUGACGUGUUUGUAUUUUUGAUGUUUUGGCAGAAGGGAGAAGUGGACAGAGGGCAAGUGAACAUGAGUGUGUGGGUGGGAGAGAGUGAUGUGGUUGGGAAGAGUGGGAAGAAGGGUAAGAGAAGUCAGAAGAUUGAGAAAGGCGGGGAGGAAGAGGUACGUGAUCAUCUGGAUGUGGAAGAAGGUGGAAUUGUAAAGAGUGGGAAGAAGGGGAAGAGAAGUAAGAAGAAAGAGAUGGAUGGGGUGGAAGAGGAAACUGAUCGUAUGGAUGUGGUAGAAGAUGGAAUUGGAAAUAGUAGGAAGAAGGGGAAGAAGAAAGAGAUGGAUGGGGUGGGAGAGGUAAUGGAUUGUCUGGAUAUGGAAGAAGAUGGAAUUGAAAAUAGUAGGAAGAAGGGGAGGAAAAGUAAGAAUAAAGAGAUGGAUGGGGUGGGAGAGGUAACUGAUUGUAUGGAUGUGGAAGAAGAUGGAAUUGGAAAGAGUAGGAAGAAGGGGGAGAAAAGUAAAGAGAAGGAUGGGGCGGAAGAGAUGAAUGAUCAGACUAAUGUGGAAAACGAUCGAAACUUGGAAUCUACAGUAGAAAAUAAGAAAAAGAAGAAUAAGGGAAAUGACAUGGUUGCUGGCGGGGAAUCAAUGACUGAUCCUCAAGAUAAAGAAUAUAAAGUUGAAAAACGGAAGAAGAAGAAGAAAACAAAAACCUUUGAGAAUCAAGAUGCAUUAAAUAAGAAGACUGAAACUGAAGCUAAAGAGAGGAACAACAUUGCAGGGAAUGUGGAGAAGAAGAAAAAGAAGAGGAAAAGGACGGUGGAAGAAGAAGAUGAUAAUGACAAAGGACAGACGAAUGGUU